GAAAGAACAGAUCAAAAGGGGACUUUCCAUCCAUCAGCCUGACACCUCCUCCCUAACGCCAGUCCCCACCCCCUUGCUGUUCCUGUCCCGGAAAGCACUGGAGGGAGAGGCCAGGGAAGGAAGAGACCUGCCCACUCUCCAUUGUUCUUCUAUUCACUCAGCACCAGCAUCUGGAGACUCCAUGGCUCUGGCUUCCUGGCGCUGCUGCUCCUGGCUUAUUCUCCUCUGUGCUUAUACCUGGGGCCAUCCAAAGCCAGUGGACCUAAAAACAGAGGAUGUAAGAAACUGUUCAACCAGCCCUCAGUACCUUCCAAUGACUGCGGUCAAUACCACAGCACAGCUUACAGCCCUCCGCGAGCAGAUGUCCACCAGGAAUCUCUCUGCUUACAUCAUCCCGGACACGGAUGCUCACAUGAACGAGUACAUUGGCGAACAUGACAAGCGACGUGCGUGGAUUACAGGCUUUACAGGGUCUGCAGGAACCGCAGUGGUGACCAUGGGGAAAGCAGGUCUCUGGACCGAUAGUCGUUACUGGACCCAGGCUGAACGGGAGAUGGACUGCAACUGGGAGCUCCAUAAAGAAGUUGGCACUUUUCCCAUCGUCAACUGGCUCCUUACCAACAUUUCUGCUGGGGGGCGUAUAGGCUUUGACCCCUCCCUCUUCUCCAUUGGCUCCUGGGAGAGUUAUAACAAGUCCCUCCAAGACUCUGGCAGAGAGCUGGUGUCCAUCACAGCCAACCUUGUCGACCUGGUGUGGGGGUCAGAGAGGCCUCCAGUUCCAAGUGAGCCCAUUUAUAUCCUGCAGGAGGCAUUCACAGGGAGCACCUGGCAGGAGAAAGUAUCUAGCAUCCGUAGCCAGAUGCAGAAGCAUCACAAGGCCCCAACUGCUGUGCUUCUAUCGGCGCUUGAUGAGACAGCCUGGCUCUUCAAUCUUCGCAGUAGUGACAUCCCUUAUAACCCCUUCUUCUAUUCCUACACACUGCUCACGGACUCCUCCAUCAGAUUAUUUGUAAACAAGAGUCGCUUUAACUCCGAGACCCUGCACUAUCUGAACUCCAACUGCACAGGCUCCAUGUGUGUGCAACUUGAAGAUUACAGCCAAGUCCGUGACAGUGUCCAAACCUAUGCCACAGGAGCUGUGAGGAUCUGGAUUGGGACCAGCUACACUAUGUAUGGGCUCUACAAAGUGAUACCCAAGGAGAAACUCGUAGCAGACACCUACUCCCCAGUGAUGGUGACCAAGGCGGUGAAAAACAAUAAGGAACAGGCCCUCCUCAGGGCCAGCCAUGUGCGGGAUGCUGUGCCCAUGAUCCGCUACUUGGUCUGGCUGGAGAAGAACGUCCCCAAAGGCACAGUGGACGAGUUCUCAGGGGCAGAGCUGCUGGAUAAGUUCCGAGGAGAGGAAAAGUUUUCCUCUGGACCCAGUUUCCAAACCAUCUCUGCUAGUGGUCUGAACGCUGCCCUGGCCCACUACAGCCCAACCAAGGAGCAUCACCGCAAGCUAUCCUCAGAUGAAAUGUACCUGGUGGAUUCUGGGGGACAAUACUGGGACGGAACCACAGAUAUUACCAGAACAGUCCACUGGGGCACCCCCUCUGCUUUCCAAAAGGAGGCAUAUACCCGCGUGUUGAUAGGAAAUAUCGAUCUGUCCAGACUUGUCUUUCCUGCUGCUACAUCAGGACUAGCAAUGGAAGCCUUUGCCCGCAGAGCCCUGUGGGAUGUUGGACUCAAUUAUGGUCAUGGGACAGGCCAUGGCAUUGGCAACUUCCUAAGUGUGCACGAGUGGCCAGUAGGAUUCCAGUCCAGCAGCAUUACCAUGGGCAAGGGCAUGUUCACUUCCAUCGCAACUCUGUGCCUCCCAGAACCUGGUUACUAUCACGACAGAGAAUUUGGGAUCCGUCUUGAAGAUGUGGCCGUCGUGGUAGAAGCAAAGACCAAGUACCCAGGGACCUACCUGACCUUUGAUGUGGUGUCCUUGGUGCCCUAUGACCGGAACCUCAUUGAUAUCAGCCUGCUGUCCCCAGAGCAGCUCCAGUACCUGAACCACUACUACCAGACCAUCCGAGAGAAGGUGGGCCCUGAGCUGCAGCAGCGCCAGCUACUGGAGGAGUUCGAGUGGUUGCAGAAACAAACAGAGCCCCUGUCCUCCAGGGCCCCAUGCACCACCUCCUUGGCCUCUGUGUUGGCAGUCUCUACCCUUGCCAUCCUCAACUGGAAUGUCUAGGGGCCCAGGACUCCCCUGCUGACCUUCUCGCUCAGCUCCCCUCACCCUGCAGCACCCAUGCCCCAAGAGCUUCUGCUGGCCCAUUGCUUGGAAACCUUUGCCCUCAGUCUCCUUCUCCAGGACCAAGCCCCAGGGAAGCAGGGCUUCUUGGCCCUAGGCAGGCCCCCUCUGAGCUUGUACACCUCACUCUCGGUUCCUAACCCCCAGCCCCAGGAUAGGAGAGCCAAGUAGUUCCUUUCCUCCUGUGAGCCCAGUAGGCCUAAACUAUAACCUGGCAGAACCUGUUGCUACUGCCCCCACCCCACACACACACACACACACAAAAAAAAAAAACAUUAUAGGGCAGUGUCUUAUCCCCAAGGACUCCAUGGCCCUGGGAGAGCCCCACCCUAUUACCACCUGAUGGAUAUAAUCAGAGCUGUUCCCACCCACACUGGCUCCUGACUCCCUGGUCUCCCCAUGCCCUUGAGGCUGCCUCUGGCCACACCUAUCUAUCCCUGGCCCUGUAAUGGACUCCUGGCUGCUGCCCUUGGGCUGAAGGAAAAAGAUUGCCUCCAGGUUCCCUGUUGUGCCUGUCGAGGGAGGGGGAGGGUGGCUGAGCAGUCUGGUUGCAUACUGCCACCCCAGAUCAGGGAGGCCAGCCAGAGAAAGGGCACAUACACCAGCCCCCGCACCCAACACGUGAGCCCAUUGCUUCUAAACCCUGUGUGGGCUCCAUGCCAAAUGACAAGAUAGGGAGUUAAUCCAUAUGAAUUUGGCCAUGGGGUAGGAGGGACUGCAGGGAGUCCUCUGAAAUACGGCCCUACUUGAACUUGGGAACAGCCUGAGCAUUGAUGCUGAGUCACUGUCCCAUAUUUCAUAACAUGUAGGAGCCCUUUUAACUUUCCAAAGUGCAGUCACAGUGACAAACCCUCCAGCAUCAUUGGAUGACCUGUGUGGCUAGUGUCUGGUUUCCCCACUUUACAGAUAAGAAAACUGAGCUUCAGAUGGGGUGGGACAUGCCCAAGGACACACAGUGUUUGGUUGGUAUAUGGUGAGACCAGAAUGGGCUGGCAGUCCAGCUCUUUUGCCCUUUGGUACAUGCAGAAUCCCUUAGCCUACCUCCCAGCCCCCUCUUGGUUCACUGAGCCCGCUUUUGUUGGGGGAGGCGGAAGUUUUCUCCAGCCAACCCAGCCGUUAGCCACCUGGGCUCACAUCCUGCUCGAUGCUUAAAACAGCCUGGCAAUGAAGACUGCCCCUGGGUUUUGCAUUGUGUCUGCCGUGUUGCUGGGGACUGCUGUUACCUGUGGCUUUUGUGGUGGGGGAGGGCGGGGAGAGGAUGAGAUGGGGGCAGGGAUGUGAGGCUCCCAGAAGCUCAGUUGGGGAGCACAUGUCCUUGAGAAUGUGCCUGUAAGCACGCGUACAUGUACGUGUGUGAGUGUUCCUGUAUUCAUAUACAUGCCAUGCCCGGCCAACCACCUCCUGUGUUAAAGGUCAUGGAGCCUUGUGGAGGGGACGGGGGUGGGGGAGCUUCACACUGGGGGACUUGUCAAAUGUGGUCCAGGGAAGUUGGGGCCACCACCUUUGCUCAGAGGAGCACAGUUAGGAGUUGGAGAGAACCAAGUCUCUGGGGCAGAGUGCUGGACAAAGGCACCAGGCAGAGGUGUCCCUCAGCCUGGGAGCACCAGGCCUAGACUGCCAAGUGAAAGGGUGACCUGUGACAGUUAUCACCACUGAUGCUCACAUCCAAAGGCCCCAGCUCUGAGCCAUCCUCACGGAGAGCCUCUAGCACCCAACAGUGGGCCUCUGUUGGCUGAGUCAUUGCUCCCUCACAUGCUCACCCUACAAAGAUAGCUACUAAUAAUAAAAUUAAAGGCACCACCACCAUUGUCAUCAUCAUCAUCAUCAUCAUCACUACCAUUUACUAAGUGUUUCAUAUGUACCAGACACUGUGCUUUACGUGCAUUCUUUUUAAUUUUUAUUUUAUUUUAUUGUGGUAAGAACACUAAAUGUGAGAUCUAGCCUUUUAAUGUUUAAGUGUAAUUAUUGCAUUUUCUCACUUAAUCCCCACAACCUAUGAAAAGGAACUUUUAUUGUUCCCAUUUUACAAGAGAGGCUCAUAGAGAUUAACCAACUCGCUCAAGGUCACUCAUCAAGGAAAUGAAAAAAGCAGGAUUCAAACCAGUCAGAUGACUCUAGAACUCACUCUCAGAAAAGGACAAGUGGUAUGGUUUGCACCAUUUUACAGAUGAGAAAACUAAGGCUCAACCAGGAUCACACUGCUGGUGAGCUAAGACUCAGAUCCAACUGAUGUUCUCUACACUAUACUGUUUCCCCAGGGCCUUCCUGCCCAAGCCUUUAUCUUUGGGUCCUGACACUUGCUCCUAUGGUUCUGGCAGGCCAUGGGCAGCAAGAGGGCCCUGGGUGCAAGACCCACUCACAGGCCUUUCAGCCCAUGGUGGCUCACACAUUCCCCUUUCCUCCCUUCAGUGUAAGACCAAGGGCUCCACCUCAUCUCCUCCCCAUAAAGUAACUGCUGCUUCCAAUCCAUCAUCUUGAGAUUGACAACCCCCGCCUCCGGAAGCAUGGCUGCAGCGGGGCUGGGUGCUGCAACACACCCCCCCACUCCUCCCUUCCUGGGCCCCAGAUAGCCGGAACACUGACCAUCCUGCUUCAAGAGCUUCACUCUGGUUUGGGCAGGGAAACAUCCAGGGUACAUACAGAGGGGCUAACCUAUGCAGGGGCAUUUGAGACAUCACUAUGAACUGAAGAUAAAUAAAUGCCCCCUUGGGCUCUGGUCCUUUUUCUUGAGGCUGGUGGAGGGGCUUACUAAACCUCUCUUUGCCUGCUGAUUGCCACUGUGGAGUGAACCAUGUGGAAAAUCCCCUGUUCCUAAGAGUUAGGAUUCUAGGGCUCUAGUCCAGGCUGUGUCAGCUAUGUGCCCUUGGGCAAGUCCCUUCACCUCUCUGGUCUUCAGUUAUCCUUCCUAUAAACAACGUGUACCACCUGCCUCAUGAGGUUACAGUGAGAGGCCCGGAAAAUCCGGACAUGACAGCACUCUAUAAAACAGGAAGCCGUACAGGCAAGAGAUGACAAUGCUAUUUGUUGGGCAUGCAUGACUUCAUCCCUUGCCUUACCUUUGGAGCUCUGCUCCCUAGAGCCCAAGCUUCUUCAGAAAUGCCGCAAGCUGCCAUGGAAAGCACUCAAGCCAAAAGCAGCCCAUGUGGGCUUCCCAUCAAAUUUUAUUAGAAGCAGUUGCU